rnacentral:rRNA from 1 species
AGCUCUCUAGCGCCGAUGGUAGUUGGGACCUUGUCCCUGUGAGAGUAGGACGUCGCCAAGC